GUUUCCUGUCAAAAGGAUGAGAGUUAUUGAUUGCCAUUUAUUUAGCCAGCCCCACAAAACUAACAACUUUGAUUAGGCAUUUACGAGUUGCAUUCUGAGGUGGGAAGGAGGAGAGGAAUCUAUUACUGCGCAUAUGCAGGAGAAAUUCAGUUGAAAAAUUAAUUAGUGGCGUAGAAAAGUCGACCAUUAUAUUUUGAAGACUUCAAUUACGAUGUUUGAAGUAAACGGAGGAUUUGGUGGCCAACCACCUAAUCACGUCGAAAAGCGGACGCAUAGGAUCGAAUUCAAGGGAGAACCACUAACCUUGACAACAGCAUCGGACAUCUUAUCGUUGUAGCUGUAUACCUCGUUGAGGAAGUGCAGCUCCUUGAAGUACCACAGCGUACUGAUGUUGGUCUUCUCCAGGGCCAUGCGAUUGCACUCCCGCUUGUAUACCGUGCGCAGGUUGUCCCACUUGCGGGUGAUGGCGUCCUUGGCCAGCGAGAUGUUAAACCGGCUCUUGAACUCCAGCACAAUCCAGUCGAGGAAGCGGGCGCGCUUAACGCGAUCCCGGAACUGUGCAUUGCCGUGGUCCCACAGAAAGGGGUUGCGCUGAUACGAAUGGAUGAGAAACUGGAUCAUCUUGCGGUCCUUGAUGUGCAUCGUAACCUCCCGGUCGCGCUAAGGGGUGGGAAAAUGAUAAAAUCAUUACAAAUAGGUAUAUAUGGAAAUGAGUGAAAAUUAAGGGUGAAAUAAAUGAAGCUUUUAAAUCGAUGGGCGAAAAUUUGGCCCAAAAUAUA